GAAGGUGGUGGCACAUGUGGUGGUUCUUAGAUCAUGCUGCAAGUCUUCCACCAUCUUGGACUGACCAUGAGAAAGCUCCAUCUCCUGCAUAGAUGAGCUUUGCUGUACUGUGCCCAAGGAGUGAAGAUGUCAACCCACAGUUCACAUCCUGAAGCUUUAAGGAAACCAGCGAGACAAAAGGCACACAGCAGCGGCCACAUGGCAAGGGUGCUUCAAAAAACAGACUGCUUCCUCUCUUCUUUCCUCGGAAUCCCAGGAUCCAUCGCCUGACCCUUCUGUUCAUCUGGGUUCUGGCAGGAAGAGGAAGCAGAAAUGAGAAAAUGAAGAGAGGCUGUUUUGGCAGUGUUGGUGGCCCAUCAACAGUGGGAAGCAUCAGAAAUCUCAUUAGACAAUCUGUUUUCAUGAGAUUUCAAGAACAAGUUUGCAGAAACAACCGCCAUGAAUGGUUCUUUCUUUCUACCCAGUGUUUUAGACUAUGCUUAUCACACUGAGUAUCUGAAAGUUUCACAAGUAAAUCAUA